rnacentral:rRNA from 6 species
GGUUAAGCGACUAAGCGUACACGGUGGAUGCCCUGGCAGUCAGAGGCGAUGAAGGACGUGCUAAUCUGCGAUAAGCGUCGGUAAGGUGAUAUGAACCGUUAUAACCGGCGAUUUCCGAAUGGGGAAACCCAGUGUGAUUCGUCACACUAUCAUUACGUGAAUACAUAGCGUAAUGAAGCGAACCGGGGGAACUGAAACAUCUAAGUACCCCGAGGAAAAGAAAUCAACCGAGAUUCCCCCAGUAGCGGCGAGCGAACGGGGAGCAGCCCAGAGUCUGAAUCAGCUUGUGUGUUAGUGGAACGGUCUGGAAAGUCCGACGGUACAGGGUGAUAGUCCCGUACACCAAAAUGCACAGGUUGUGAACUCGAAGAGUAGGGCGGGACACGUGGUAUCCUGUCUGAAUAUGGGGGGACCAUCCUCCAAGGCUAAAUACUCCUGACUGACCGAUAGUGAACCAGUACCGUGAGGGAAAGGCGAAAAGAACCCCGGCGAGGGGAGUGAAAAAGAACCUGAAACCGUGUACGUACAAGCAGUGGGAGC